AUUGAACGCUGGCGGCAGGCUUAACACAUGCAAGUCGAGCGGAGAUGAGGUGCUUGCACCUUAUCUUAGCGGCGGACGGGUGAGUAAUGCUUAGGAAUCUGCCUAUUAGUGGGGGACAACAUUCCGAAAGGAAUGCUAAUACCGCAUACGCCCUACGGGGGAAAGCAGGGGAUCUUCGGACCUUGCGCUAAUAGAUGAGCCUACGUCUGAUUAGCUAGUUGGUGGGGUAAAGGCCUACCAAGGCGACGAUCUGUAGCGGGUCUGAGAGGAUGAUCCGCCACACUGGGACUGGGACACGGCCCAGACUCCGACGGGAGGCAGCAGUGGGGAAUAUUGGACAAUGGGCGGAAGCCUGAUCCAGCCAUGCCGCGUGUGUGAAGAAGGCCUUUUGGUUGUAAAGCACUUUAAGCGAGGAGGAGGCUACCUGGAUUAAUACUCUAGGAUAGUGGACGUUACUCGCAGAAUAAGCACCGGCUAACUCUGUGCCAGCAGCCGCGGUAACAC
rnacentral:rRNA from 1 species